rnacentral:rRNA from 1 species
UCCGUAGGUGAACCUGCGGAAGGAUCAUUACCGAGUGCGGGUCCUUUGGGCCCAACCUCCCAUCCGUGUCUAUUGUACCCUGUUGCUUCGGCGGGCCCGCCGCUUGUCGGCCGCCGGGGGGGCGCCUCUGCCCCCCGGGCCCGUGCCCGCCGGAGACCCCAACACGAACACUGUCUGAAAGCGUGCAGUCUGAGUUGAUUGAAUGCAAUCAGUUAAAACUUUCAACAAUGGAUCUCUUGGUUCCGGCAUCGAUGAAGAACGCAGCGAAACGAUAACUAAUGUGAAUUGCAGAAUUCAGGAAUCAUCGAGUCUUUGAACGCACAUUGCGCCCCCUGGAUUCCGGGGGGCAUGCCUGUCCGAGCGUCAUGCUGCCCUCAAGCCCGGCUUGUGUGUUGGGUCGCCGUCCCCCUCUCCGGGGGGACGGGCCCGAAAGGCAGCGGCGGCACCGCGUCCGAUCCUCGAGCGUAUGGGGCUUUGUCACAUGCUCUGUAGGAUUGGCCGGCGCCUGCCGACGUUUUCCAACCAUCUUUCCAGGUUGACCUCGGAUCAGGUAGGGAUACCCGCUGAACUUAAGCAUAUCAAUAGCGGA